UACAGGGGGGCAAGCGUUGUUCGGAAUUACUGGGCGUAAAGGGCUCGUAGGCGGCCAACUAAGUCCGACGUGAAAUCCCCAGGCUUAACCUGGGAACUGCGUCGGAUACUGGAUGGCUUGAAUUCGGGAGAGGGAUGCAGAAUUCCAGGUGUAGCGGUGAAAUGCGUAGAUAUCUGGAGGAAUACCGGUGGCGAAGGCGGCAAUCCUGGGCCCGACGAUUGACGCUGAUGAGCGAAAGCUG
rnacentral:rRNA from 1 species